rnacentral:tRNA from 1 species
GGUGGUAUGGCCAAGGAUAUGGCAGGGGACUGCAAAUUAUUCACCCCCAGUUCAAAUCUGGAUGCCGCUA